rfam:Exophiala oligosperma strain CBS 72588 unplaced genomic scaffold supercont1.10, whole genome shotgun sequence.
GGUUUUGUAGUGUAGUGGUGAUCACUCCGGAUUUUGACCUUUGUUCUUGACCAAGACAACACAACUUUCCGGCAACCCCGGUUCGAACCCGGGCAAGACCU